GACGAACGCUGGCGGCGUGCCUAAUACAUGCAAGUAGAACGCUGAAGGAGGAGCUUACUUCUCUGGAUGAGUUGCGAACGGGUGAGUAACGCGUAGGUAACCUGCCUGGUAGCGGGGGAUAACUAUUGGAAACGAUAGCUAAUACCGCAUAAGAGUAGAUGUUGCAUGACCUUUACUUAAAAGGUGCAAUUGCACCACUACCAGAUGGAGCUGCGUUGUAUUAGCUAGUUGGUGGGGUAACGGCUUACCAAGGCGACGAUACAUAGCAGACCUGGGAGGGUGAUCGGCCACACUGGGACUGAGACACGGCCCAGACUCCUACGGGAGGCAGCAGUAGGGAAUCUUCGGCAAUGGACGGAAGUCUGACCGAGCAACGCCGCGUGAGUGAAGAAGGUUUUCGGAUCGUAAAGCUCUGUUGUAAGAGAAGAACGAGUGUGAGAGUGGAAAGUUCACACUGUGACGGUAUCUUACCAGAAAGGGACGGCUAACUACGCGCCAGCAGCCGCCGUAA
rnacentral:rRNA from 1 species